rnacentral:rRNA from 1 species
CUACGGGUUGCAGCAGUGGGGAAUAUUGGACAAUGGGGGCAACCCUGAUCCAGCCAUGCCGCGUGUGUGAAGAAGGCCUUAGGGUUGUAAAGCACUUUCAGUGGUGAGGAAGGCUGAGUAGUUAAUACCUGCUUAGUUUGACGUUAGCCACAGAAGAAGCACCGGCUAACUCUGUGCCAGCAGCCGCGGUAAUACAGAGGGUGCGAGCGUUAAUCGGAAUUACUGGGCGUAAAGCGCGCGUAGGUGGUUUGUUAAGUCGGAUGUGAAAUCCCCGGGCUCAACCUGGGAACUGCACCCGAUACUGGCAGGCUAGAGUACGAUAGAGGGGUGUGGAAUUUCCUGUGUAGCGGUGAAAUGCGUAGAUAUAGGAAGGAACAUCAGUGGCGAAGGCGACACCCUGGAUUGAUACUGACACUGAGGUGCGAAAGCGUGAGGAGCAAACAGGAUUAGAUACCCUUGUAGUC